rnacentral:rRNA from 1 species
UACGGAGGGUGCAAGCGUUAUCCGGAUUUAUUGGGUUUAAAGGGUGCGCAGGCGGUAGGAUAAGUCAGUGGUGAAAUGUUGCAGCUUAACUGUAGAUGUGCCAUUGAGACUGUUUUACUUGAGUUAUCCUGAGGUAGGCGGAAUGUGUAGUGUAGCGGUGAAAUGCUUAGAUAUUACACAGAACACCGAUUGCGGAGGCAGCUUACCAAGGGUGGACUGACGCUCAGGCACGAAAGCGUGGGGAU